UAACAAGGAUUCCCCUAGUAACGGCGAGUGAAGCGGGAAGAGCUCAAAUUUGAAAUCUGGCGGUCUCAGGCCGUCCGAGUUGUAAUCUAGAGAGGUGUUUUCCGUGCCGGACCGCGUACAAGUCCCUUGGAACAGGGCGUCAUAGAGGGUGAGAAUCCCGUCCGUGACGCGGACUUCCGGUGCUCUGUGAUACACCUUCGAAGAGUCGAGUUGUUUGGGAAUGCAGCUCAAAAUGGGUGGUAAAUUCCAUCUAAAGCUAAAUACAGGCGAGAGACCGAUAGCGAACAAGUACCGUGAGGGAAAGAUGAAAAGAACUUUGGAAAGAGAGUUAAACAGUACGUGAAAUUGUUGAAAGGGAAACGCUUGAAGUCAGUCGCGUCUGCCGGGACUCAACCUUGCUUCUGCUUGGUGCAAUUCUUGGUAGAUGGGCCAGCAUCGAUUUUGGUCGCCGGAAAAGGGUGAGAGGAAUGUGGCAGCUUGCUGUGUUAUAGCCUCUUAUCGUACACGGUGACUGGGAUCGAGGACUGCAGCACGCCUCGGGGUUCGCCCACGCUACGUGCUUAGGAUGCUGGCGUAAUGGCUUUAAGCGACCCGUCUUGAA
rnacentral:rRNA from 1 species